CCUGCAGGAUUUCACUCCAACCCUGUUCCUGGAGAGAUAUCCUCCUGCAGGAGGCUUUCACUCCAACCCUGUUCCUGGAGAGAUACCCUCCAUGCUUGCUGACGAGGUGGGUAACAUGGAACUGGGGUUGAGCACUUCCCAAAGCUUUUAUGAGCACUGGUUUUAGGUCAUGCCUUUGUCUCUCUGGCUUUUUAAUCUCGCCCUCUCUCGGUCUCUCCCUCUCUCGCCCUCGUACAAGCUUUUGUUUGUUCUGGCUGCAACAUCUGAGGUUCUUGCCGAUGAGGUCAGUUUAUUGCAUUGUUACUGUUGGACUGACUGACAAGGAGGGGGCGUGUUCUGUCUUGUUUACUUCCUGGUCCAGGUCAUCAUGGUGAGCAGUGUCGCAGGCAUGGACUCUGAUUGGCUGAUGGGCGAGCGGGGGGACCCAAAAGGGAAAAUGCCACAGUGCCUGAUGGGAAACUGACAGCCUUCCUCAGUGGAACCUUAACCAGGACAGAACCAGGCUUCUAAAAAAGUUCCUGUAGGGUUCAGUCAGAAUGGGAAAGAUCAUUAAGGGUUGUCUGCACGAGUAGGAGGGGUAUCUGCCUCUGAUUCUGUCUGUUUCUCUGAUCCUGUCGGUUUGUCUGGUACAGUAAAUCAUGUUAGAUAUAAAUGGCUUAAAUGUAGCUACCUAGUAAAAUAUUCCUUAAUAAGAAUCCAUUUCAAACAAUCUUUCUUAAUGUUGACCCCUAAUUGAUAUUUUAUUUACAUAAUGUGAUAAUUAGGGACCAA